rnacentral:lncRNA from 1 species
UUUUUUUUUUUUUUUUUUUUUUUUUUGUCUUUUUGCUAUUUCUUGGGCCACUCCUGAGGCAUAUGGAGGUUCCCAGGCUAGGGGUCGAAUCGGAGCUGCAGCCACCAGCCUACGCCAGAGCCACAGCAACGCUGGAUCCGAGCCUGAGUCUGCAACCUACACCACAGCUCAUGGCAACGCCGGAUCGUUAACACACUGAGCAAGGGCAGGGACCGAACCCGCAACUUCAUGGUUCCUAGUCGGAUUCAUUAACCACUGCUCCACGACGGGAACUCCAAGACUAGCUGAUCUUUUUUUGUGCAGGCUGGGGACACAGAGGCAAGAGAGCUAAACCUGGGCGCGGUCCGUACCCCACCCCAGGCGUGGCCCUGAGGCUAUCAAUUCAGGCCUAACAGCUAUUCUUCAGUUCCAAGGGCAGGGAAAUGGCAGGAGGCUCGGCUGGCUGUCACCACGGCAACCACCCAGAACUGCCCUCCAGGCCCACAUCCAAGGAAUGGCUGGCAGUCACUUUUUCCACCACUCACCCCUUCCCUUCCCUCUUUCCUUCCUUGACCAAAAACUGCGUGAUUUCCCUUGUUGCAGCCAUUCCCAAGGAGAACAAUGGAUGGCAGCUCUGAGCAGAGGGUGGAGAAGUCAGAACAAAGGGGAGCGGAUCUGGGGGGGUGCAUGGGGUGAUCUGGCAACUGAACAGGGUUAGACAGUUGUCCAUAGGCAAAUGCUGUGUUGUUGGCGACAUAAGGAUAGAUGGAACAGUGGCUGCCCCACCUCUGCCCCCUGCCACUGGGACGAGAGGAAGGAGGCUGUUCUUCAUCCAUCCUUGAAAAUGCACCAACAAUGGCAGAAUCUAGAGGGGCAGGGCACCAGGUCUCCUUCAGAGGAAACUACUGGAAAGAGUGUGCCUCUUGGCUUUGAAAAGCAAAGGCCAGGAGGAAAGUGGCCACAGCCUUGCUUGGUGACUGCUCUGUGAUGCCAUUUUGGGGGGGGGGGCGCUCUGGCAGCAUAUGGAGGUUCCCAGGCUAGAGGUCCAAUUGGAACUGCAGCUGCCAGCCUACGCCACAGCCACAGCAACGUCAGAUCUGAACCACGUCUUCAACCUACACCACAGCUCACAGCAAUGCCAGAUCCUUAACCCACUAAGCAGGGCCAGUGAUGGAACCCACAUCCUCAUGGAUACCAGUCAGCUUCAUUACCACUGAGCCACAAAUGGGAACUCCUGUGACACCAUUUUUUGAUGCUGGUGCCUAAGAGGCCCCCAUGCCUGGGUCAGUCCUGUUAAGUGGCAUUGCUAUGGAAAUCUGGUGUGGGGGGGCAGCCUGCUGAUCCCCUCAGGCAGCUCUGCCCACAUCCUCUGCUCCCUCCAAUCAGUCCCAACCUUCCUUCAGGGCUGGCCUGGUUCAGCUCCUUCCUCUGCAUAAAGUAUUUAUUCUCUGGCCAUUUGUGCAACACUCUGCCUCUGAAAUGCCAAAGCAGUCACUCUUUCUAGACUGUUCUCAUCUAGCAUCACUCACCUUUUUCUCUGAGGAUCCCUCUACUACCCAAUAGCCUGGAAUCCCCAUGUACCUGCCUCUGUGCUGGGCAUGGACCAGAUGCUAGGCUCUCUGUGAGCACAUUCUGAUUCAGUAAGGAAGGGAAGCAGGACCCUUGGAUCCACCAUUGUUCAGGGAAUUUAAAAAAAAAUUUUUUUUAGGAGUUCCCGUCGUGGUGCAGUGGUUACCGAAUCCAACUAGGAACCAGGAGGUUUCGGGUUCAAUCCCUGGCCUUGCUCAGUGGGUUAAGGAUCCGACAUUGCCGUGAGCUGUGGUGUAGGUCGCAGACACGGCUCGGAUCCCAUGCUGCUGUGGCUGUUGUGUAGGCCGGUGGCUAUAGCUCCGAUUCGACCCCUAGCCUGGGAAACUCCAUAUGCCGCGGGAGCGGCCCAAGAAAUGGCAAAAAGACAAAAAAAAAAAAUUUAUUUUAUGAUUUUUAUUUUUUCCAUCAUAGUUGAUUUACAGUGUUCUGUUAAUUUCUACUGUACAACUAAGUGAACCAGUCGCAUAUAUGUAUAUUUCUAUAUAUAUACACACACACACAUAUACAUACAUACACAUAAAUAUACAUGUUCUUUUUCUCAUAUUAUCCUCUGUCAUGUUCCAUCACAAGUGAUGGGAUACAGCUCCCUGUGCUGUACAGCAAGUUUAGGGAAUUUAAUACUCACUGCUGACACCCCGGGUGUUCCCCAAGCAAGGGGCCAGUGACCCCUCUCUCCGCCAGUGAGGAAAGAGAACAUUCAUUGUAUCCAGUUCAGUGAAUAUCAAGAACAUUGGUGUCACAAUUUGCAGUCACCCAAGCACCUCUUUGCAGACUAUCUUGAGCCACACAGUGACCUUGCGAGGGGGUAAGACACAUUACUAGCCCAUUUCACAGAUGAAGAGGUUGAGGGUCAGAGAGGUUAAGUGAUAUGACCUGGGGCACAUGGUCCAGAGUGCAGACCCCUAGUCUCGCACCUAGCAGGUGUACCGAAUACCCAGGAGGACAUGUAGCAGCCAAAGACACAGAAAAGGGCACUAAGCUGGGAGGUGACAGAUGUAACUACUCCAGGGCAGAAGCUGACACUGAAAAAGAGGGAUGACAAUGCGUCCCAGAGGAAGGGAGGGGAGGCCAUCACUGCACCCAGUUAACUGGUCACAACGCAGCCCACUGAGACCUGGGAAAAGAGGAUGGACAUGAGUGUUUUCUAAGGUCCUUGGGCUGCCAAUGCCACCAGCCUGAGCGCUCAGGGUUCAAGGGCCCAGCUCCAAGUGACCACCAACUCAGAAGGACUGACCACCCUGCCCAGAACCUGCAAGAAACGAACCUGACUGGGUGGGUGAGAAUGCUGGUGCCUGGUAAGGAGAGGAACCCUAUAAACUGAGAGAGGGGCCAGGAGAGGAUGAGAGGGGACCCUGCUCCUCCCCAAGCUGCUCCCACACAUGACACACAGGGUCCCAUUGGAAGAAUCUGGGAGAUUCUUCAAAGCCAAUUAGAAAAAAGUGAGUUCCACCCCAGAGGUUUGCAAACACGGCUGCACCCAAAAAUCACAUAGGCGGUUUUUUAAAAGUUAAGAUUCCUAGGGCCACCUCAGCUCUAGGGGACUCGACCAUCAGAGCAGCGGUGCCCAACCUCAGCAGCCCACAAGUAAUCAUUCUGAGCCCCAGGGGACCCCAGGAUCUAUUCAAUCAGAAUCUCUAGGGGGUGGGGGGAGUUCCCAUUGUGGCUCAGUGGGUUAAGAACUGGACUGGUAUCCAUGAGGAUCCUGUGGGUCGUGCAUCUACAUUAACCCUCCCUCCUUGGAGAUCACAUUCUUUCUUCAUCUCAUUAAGGGCCACAAUCCCUUAAGAGAUAACAGGCCUUCUUAAUCUUGUCAGAGGCCAUGAUGACCACGACCACGCUUUGGAGAGCAGAUCUGGAUAGUAUAAACUGGCAAUAAUACGUCAUUUACUCUACAGUCCUCUCUCUCAAAACUUACAUGACUGUGCUUUGACCUCUAAUGGGCCAAACAGUUCUCAGAGCUUUCUGAGAGUCUAUUCCCUUAGUCUGGCUUGCAUGGAAAUUUCCACUUCUUUCUCACAUUGACUGGUCAAUUUUUUUUAUCAACAUCCGGACCCCACAGAUAUUCAAAGUCAGUCUCAUGCACAGAGCCCCUGAAAUCAGGGGGUCUGGUUUAACUCCCACACUGUACUUCUUAGCUGUGUGAUCUUGCUCAAGUAACCUAACUUCUCUGAGCUUCUGUUUCCCCAGAAACAGAAUGUGUUUACUGGGAAUGUUUAUGUCCCCAGUGUGGAAUAGUGUUUACGUCUUAGUUAGAAUCAAAUAUGAAGUCAUGAGGAACACUUGCGACAACACUGGGCACUGAGUAAGGACCCCAUAAAGAUAAGCUAUUAGGCACACAUACGUACAUAUAUUGCUUAUUAUACAUUACGGGGGACUAGAUGUCAGGCACUAUUUUAGGCACUUUCCACGGCCUGGUGAGCUGGAAGUCCAAACCCAGCAGCCUGGCCUCCUCUCUCCGGCUUUGGACAAGUCAUAUCCCUUCCUGGGCCGGACCUGCCACCAGAGACCGGGGGCCCAGGGGCCGCCAACCCGCAGAGAGGACCUGGGUUCCUCUUUCUUCUGACUUGGUCUAAGGGACAAAAAACAGCCGGCGUCCAAGGCACAAAGCAGGCUCUCUUCUCUGCAUGUGGCUUUGGCUGGGGGCACGUUUCCCUGCGGCGCCGCCCACAGUCCGCCCAGAACCCGGAGCAUCCCUGGCUUCAGGAGCAUCCCCGCGGAUCCCGGCGAGCAGGGAGCGAGUGGUUCCCCAAGGGAACACCCCCCCUCCCCAGGAAGUGCCACCGCCCAGGCCCGAGCCCCGGGGCUGCGCCUCCACCGGUACUCGAGCUGGAGCCCGCUGCCCUAGGAUCAGCCCUGGCGCGCCCGGCCCAGACACUCACAAAGUCUCCUCCCGAAGACCGGCCCCGAGGGAGAAAACCGAGCGCUGUCCCGAAUGCGUCCCCGGCCCUGCCGCCCGCCCCUGGGAGCCCCUCCCGAGGGUCAGCUCUGGGCGGGGGCCGGGGCGCGGCGGGCGCCGAAAGCGGGAGGACAGCUGACUCAUCCUCUCGUCCGCCGCCGUGAGUCAUCCGGC